rnacentral:hammerhead_ribozyme from 1 species
AUCCAGCUGACGAGCCCCAAAUAGGACGAAACGCGAACCUUGGAU